rnacentral:rRNA from 1 species
CCUACGGGUGGCUGCAGUGGGGGAUAUUGCACAAUGGGGGAAACCCUGAUGCAGCGACGCCGCGUGAGUGAAGAAGUAUUUCGGUAUGUAAAGCUCUAUCAGCAGGGAAGAAAAUGACAGUACCUGACCAAGAAGCCCCGGCUAACUACGUGCCAGCAGCCGCGGUAAUACGUAGGGGGCAAGCGUUAGCCGGAUUUACGGGGUGUAAAGGGAGCGUAGGCGGUUAUGUAAGUCUGGAGUGAAAGCCCGGGGCUCAACCCCGGGACUGCUUUGGAAACUGUGUAACUGGAGUGCAGGAGGGGCGGGCGGAAUUCCAGGUGUAGCGGUGAAAUGCGUAGAUAUAAGGAGGAACACCGGCGGCGAAGGCGGCCUGCUGGACUGAAACUGACGUUGAGGUUCGAAAGCGUGGGGAGCAAACAGGAUUAGAUACCCGAGUAGUC